CAAUAGCGUAUAUUAAAGUUGUUGCAGUUAAAAAGCUCGUAGUUGGAUUUCGGGGUGGCCUGCCUGGUCCGCCGCAAGGUGAGUACUGGUCAGCCGCCCUUCCUCUCGAAAGCCCCGACUGCUCUUCAUUGCAGUGGUCGGGUAGUUCGGGACGUUUACUUUGAAAAAAUUAGAGUGUUCAAGGCAGGCUCUCGCCUGAAUACAUUAGCAUGGAAUAAUGGAAGAGGACCUCGGUCCUAUUUUGUUGGUUUCUAGGGCCGAAGUAAUGAUUAAGAGGGACAGUUGGGGGCAUUCGUAUUUAAUUGUCAGAGGUGAAAUUCUUGGAUUUAUGAAAGACGAACUAGUGCGAAAGCAUUUGCCAAGGAUGUUUUCAUUAA
rnacentral:rRNA from 1 species